rnacentral:misc_RNA from 1 species
GAAACAACGAAUACGAAUGGUCUGUUGAAAUAAACGAAGCCUUGUUAUAAUAUGUCGCUAUCAAUUGUUACCAAGGCGCCACGGUGGUCACCCGUGACCACCAAUAAGAUAAACGGUCCAUUGGGGAAGAAUGUUGUCUUACAUCAUCAAUUUAUUAUUAUUUUGCCAUUGUAUGCUUUGAAUAAUAAUAAUACUCCCGUGGCGUCCUCAGCGAAACAUGUGAUUUCGGCAUGGCAGUCAAAGCGUU